UUAUACUCAUAGACAGGACUGGGGGAAGGGCCGUUCCCGAGGCCGGGGUGCAGUGCCUUGGAAAGCACCCCCCAAACAGUAGACCUUGUAUUUUUAGUGUCCCCUGCAACCAUCCUUUGACUUGGAGCAAGAAUUUCCGCUGCUGCUACCCCCGAGAUGGGCUUCACCAGAUGUUAAUAACGUGCUUAUUUUUGCUAAGUGCUAUUUUGGCACCAGUGUUAGUUGCAAUUUAUAUUCUGCAGCAUUUGAUGCUGGGAAAAGAACCCACCCUAAUGGUCCCCAAUUGGCAGAGCUUGGCUGUUAAGUGUCAGACCAUAUGCUGCCUGCCGGAGGAGCGUGGUCAGCACUUGUCCCCGUGACUGCGUGCGUGUGCCUGCGUGUGUGUGCCUGCAUGCACGUGUGCAUGCGUGUACCUGUGCCCUGUGUGUGCACGUGUGACUGCAUGGGUGUGCCUGUGUGUACCUGUGCCCUGUGUGUGCACGUGUGCCUGCGUGCAUGUACCUGUGUGCAUGUGUGCCUGUGUGUAUCUGUGCCCUGUGUGUGCACAUGUGCCUGCGUGUAUGUGUGCCUGUGUGUGUGUGCCUGGGUAAACCUGUGCCCUGUGUGUGCAUGCGUGUGUGAGUCACGUCUUCCCUGUGUGAGUGUGAGGGAGAGACUGAGGGGUUGGAGAGAGGGUGGAGGGGAAAGGGUAUGUAUCCCUUUGUUCUUUAAAAGGGAGAGCUCCUACUUCUCUGGCUGCCCCGUCCUGCCUGUGCCCCCAGCUCACCCCAGACCUAGCUGCUAUUUAUUCUCCUGACUUCCUCCUGGCCCUGCGGCCCCAUGGCCCUGUGGCCUGUGACCCUGCAGCCCCUUGUCCCGAAGCCUCCGCCCCGCCGCCUGCUCCAUGUCACCAGGCAACACUGGGCCCCACCAGGCUUCUGAAGGUGGCCCAGGGCAGGCACUUGAGCCUGAGGACCCAGAGCAAAGGUGCCUUUCUGGGCCUUGGGUGCUCCUCUCUGCUGUAUGAGGCUUUUCUCGCUUUCAAGGGCCCGUCCAGCCCAGGGGAGCUGGGUGAGGGCUGCUUCCUUCUGCAGCAGAGGAGGCGGGCUCUAUCCCUGCCAUCCGCUGCCCCCAGACGCCCUGCCAGGACACAGGCCUGAGACGUUUCUUCUCCAAGAGGCCAUCCCGGGACCUGUGUGUGCACAGGGCGGGAGGACACUCGCUGCUUCAACCCAGGACUGCAGCCAGGAUGGGCUGAGCUCCUCUGGCGCUAAAAACACACAAGGCGUGCCUGUCAGCUCAGCAGCGCCCUCCCUCAACCACUCCCUGUGCCCGGACCCAGAGCCACAGGCCUUUGGGCCCAGGGGACUGGGGCUGGGCUCAGGCUUGGGCCUGGGGGGCUCAUGGAGGGGCCAGGCCUAGAGCAGUAGGGCUGCAACAGCUGAGGGCUGGGCCCCUGCCAGCCAAUGAAGCUCCAGAUCAGUGUCCCGGCCUUGGAGGUGCCAGCAGUGCUCCUGCAGGGAUGGAGGGUGCUGGAGCCCUGGAUGCGGAGACCCUGAUCUCCCAGCAGGCAGUGCUGUGACAGCCUCCCACCUCCUCUUCCCCUGUUAUCUGCUCGUUUUAGGAUCUGAAAAUGACAGAUUUUUUUUUUUUGAGAGGGAGUCUUCCUUUGUCCCCCAGGCUGGAGUGCAGUGGCACGAUUUCGGCUCACUCACUACAACCUCUGCCUCACAGGUUCAAACGACUCUCCCACCUCAGCCUCCCGAGUAG